rnacentral:rRNA from 1 species
UAGGGAAUAUUGGACAAUGGGCGAAAGCCUGAUCCAGCCAUGCCGCGUGUGUGAAGAAGGUCUUCGGAUUGUAAAGCACUUUAAGUUGGGAGGAAGGGCAGUAACCUAAUACGUUGCUGUCUUGACGUUACCGACAGAAUAAGCACCGGCUAACUCUGUGCCAGCAGCCGCGGUAAUACAGAGGGUGCAAGCGUUAAUCGGAAUUACUGGGCGUAAAGCGCGCGUAGGUGGUUAGUUAAGUUGGAUGUGAAAUCCCCGGGCUCAACCUGGGAACUGCAUUCAAAACUGACUGACUAGAGUAUGGUAGAGGGUGGUGGAAUUUCCUGUGUAGCGGUGAAAUGCGUAGAUAUAGGAAGGAACACCAGUGGCGAAGGCGACCACCUGGACUGAUACUGACACUGAGGUGCGAAAGCGUGGGGAGCAAACAGGAUUAGAUACCCAGGUAGUCCCUGAGCGGGCUGGCAAGGCGCAU